GCCGACGUAGCUCAGCCUGGCAGAGCGAGUCUCUCGUAAGGACUAGGUCGAGGGCUCAAAUCCCUCCGUCGGCU
rnacentral:tRNA from 1 species